CAAUUUUGCCUGUUUACACUAAUUGUGCUUUAAAUGACCAGCGCACGCGUUUUGAAUUUCGAUCAUAUUUUGCAUUUUUUAAACAUCUCUUUAAUAAAUAUCAUUCAAGUAAUAUUAUAUCGCAACAAGCACAUAAAAGACACAUUAAAGACAAUUUUGACACGUAAUGUACACUUUUAUUAAGAGUUAUUUGCAUGUCAACAUUUCAAUAUGCAUGUAACCAAAUAGAUGUCAUCCGCCAUUGUGUAACUACAUAAAUAUGAUUAUGUUUUUAUGUAGGUCUACCAUCUACUCAGUCACAGUCGACAAAACCUGAAGUCACGAGUGUUGCAAGUUCGCUUACCACUUCAUCGGCACAAACCACUCAGUCAAGUACAGAAACCACCAGAAGCACUCAAACGUCAUCGACACAAAGCACACGGCGAAUAAAUGACGCUACGAAUACCAAGAUUCAACACGUCAGCGUAACGAACGUGAACAAUCAGACUCAAUCAUCCAAAACGGUUAUUGCAAAGAGCACCCAAUGGACUUCAACGAAAAGCGCGACCGAUAGACAAGACAAACGUACCGAUACAACAUCUACCACGAAAAGACAACCGAUUUCUAACGAUGCAAAUACAUAUAGCAUAG